CUACGGGGCGCUGCAGUGAGGAAUAUUGCACAAUGGGGGGAACCCUGAUGCAGCAACGCCGCGUGGAGGAUGACGCAUUUCGGUGUGUAAACUCCUUUUAUAUGUCAAGAAAAUGACGGUAGCAUAUGAAUAAGCACCGGCUAACUCCGUGCCAGCAGCCGCGGUAAUACGGAGGGUGCAAGCGUUACUCGGAAUCACUGGGCGUAAAGGACGCGUAGGCGGGUUGGAAAGUCAGGUGUGAAAUCCUACAGCUUAACUGUAGAACUGCACUUGAAACUUCUAAUCUAGAGUGUGGGAGGGGGAGAUGGAAUUAGUGGUGUAGGGGUAAAAUCCGUAGAUAUCACUAGGAAUACCUAAAGCGGAGGCGAUCUCCUGGAACAUUACUGACGCUAAGGCGUGAAAGCGUGGGGAGCAAACAGGAUUAGAUACCCUUGUAGUC
rnacentral:rRNA from 1 species